CGGACGGGUGAGUAAUGCGUGGGUAACCUGCCUUGUACUGGGGGACAACAGUUAGAAAUGACUGCUAAUACCGCAUAAGCGCACAGUAUCGCAUGAUACAGUGUGAAAAACUCCGGUGGUACAAGAUGGACCCGCGUCUGAUUAGCUAGUUGGUAAGGUAACGGCUUACCAAGGCGACGAUCAGUAGCCGACCUGAGAGGGUGACCGGCCACAUUGGGACUGAGACACGGCCCAA
rnacentral:rRNA from 1 species